UACGUAGGUGGCGAGCGUUGUCCGGAAUUACUGGGCGUAAAGAGUGCGUAGGCGGAUAUUUAAGUGAGAUGUGAAAUACCCGGGCUUAACCCGGGCACUGCAUUUCAAACUGGGUAUCUAGAGUGCGGGAGAGGAGAAUGGAAUUCCUAGUGUAGCGGUGAAAUGCGUAGAGAUUAGGAAGAACACCAGUGGCGAAGGCGAUUCUCUGGACCGUAACUGACGCUGAGGCACGAAAGCGUGGGUAGCAAAC
rnacentral:rRNA from 1 species